CCUACGGGGGGCAGCAGUGAGGAAUUUUCGGCAAUGGGGGCAACCCUGACCGAGCAACGCCGCGUGCAGGAAGACGGCCUUCGGGUUGUAAACUGCUUUUCUCUGGGACGAGGCAAAGGACGGUACCAGAGGAAUCAGCCCCGGCUAACUACGUGCCAGCAGCCGCGGUAAUACGUAGGGGGCGAGCGUUGUCCGGAGUUACUGGGCGUAAAGCGCACGCAGGCGGUCUGUCGCGUGUGGCCUGACACUUCCCGGCUCAACUGGGAACGGCGGUCGCAAACGGGCAGACUUGAGGGCUUCAGAGGGACAGGGAAUUCCGAGUGGAGUGGUGAAAUGCGUAGAUAUUCGGAGGAACACCGAAGGCGAAGGCACUGUCCUGGGGAGUCACUGACGCUCAGGUGCGAAAGCCAGGGGAGCGAACGGGAUUAGAUACCCUAGUA
rnacentral:rRNA from 1 species